GCUCUCGUGGUGUAACGGUAACAUACUCGGUUGGUAUUCGAGAGGUCCAGGUUAGAGCCCGACGAGAGCA
rnacentral:tRNA from 1 species